GACGAACGCUGGCGGCGUGCCUAAUACAUGCAAGUAGAACGCUGAAGCGAGGAGCUUGCUCUUCUUUGAUGAGUUGCGAACGGGUGAGUAACGCGUAGGUAACCUGCCUUGUAGCGGGGGAUAACUAUUGGAAACGAUAGCUAAUACCGCAUAACCAUGGAUGACACCUGUCAUUUAUUUGAAAGGGGCAAUUGCUCCACUACAAGAUGGACCUGCGUUGUAUUAGCUAGUAGGUGAGGUAAUGGCUCACCUAGGCGACGAUACAUAGCCGACCUGAGAGGGUGAUCGGCCACACUGGGACUGAGACACGGCCCAGACUCCUACGGGAGGCAGCAGUAGGGAAUCUUCGGCAAUGGGGGCAACCCUGACCGAGAAACGCCGCGUGAGUGAAGAAGAUUGUCGGAUCGUAAAGCUCUGUUGUAAGUCAAGAACGGGUGUGAGAGUGGAAAGUUCACACUGUGACGGUAGCUUACCAGAAAGGGACGGCUAACUACGUG
rnacentral:rRNA from 1 species